GGUAAGGUGGCUCAGUGGUAGAGUGCUUGCCUUUUGAGCAUGAGGCCCUGGGUUCGAUUCCUCAGCACCA
rfam:Dipodomys ordii contig_75430, whole genome shotgun sequence.